GAUGAACGCUGGCGGCGUGCUUAACACAUGCAAGUCGAACGGAAAGGCCCAAGCUUGCUUGGGUACUCGAGUGGCGAACGGGUGAGUAACACGUGGGUGAUCUGCCCUGCACUUCGGGAUAAGCCUGGGAAACUGGGUCUAAUACCGGAUAGGACCACGUCUUGGAUGUUGUGGUGGAAAGUUUUUUCGGUGUGGGAUGAGCUCGCGGCCUAUCAGCUUGUUGGUGGGGUAAUGGCCUACCAAGGCGUCGACGGGUAGCCGGCCUGAGAGGGUGUACGGCCACAUUGGGACUGAGAUACGGCCCAGACUCCUACGGGAGGCAGCAGUGGGGAAUAUUGCACAAUGGGCGCAAGCCUGAGGCAGCGACGCCGCGUGGGGGAUGACGGCCUUCGGGUUGUAAACUCCUGUCGCUAGGGACGAAGCGUUUUUGUGACGGUACCUGGAGAAGAAGCACCGGCUAACUACGUG
rnacentral:rRNA from 1 species